rnacentral:tRNA from 1 species
UUAAAAAUUAGUUAAUUCAUAACAUAAGUUUGUCAGGCUUAAGUAAUUCUAUUAGAAUAUUUUUAAA